rnacentral:rRNA from 1 species
UACGAAGGGGGCUAGCGUUGUUCGGAAUUACUGGGCGUAAAGCGCGCGCAGGCGGUUUUUCAAGUCAGUGGUGAAAGCCCGGAGCUCAACUCCGGAACUGCCAUUGAAACUGUAAAACUUGAGGACGAGAGAGGUGAGUGGAAUUCCCAGUGUAGAGGUGAAAUUCGUAGAUAUUGGGAAGAACACCGGUGGCGAAGGCGGCUCACUGGCUCGUAUCUGACGCUCAGGCGCGAAAGCGUGGGGAGCAAACAGG